CAGUCGCCGCGGUAAUACGAAGGGUGCAAGCGUUAAUCGGAAUUACUGGGCGUAAAGCGUGCGUAGGCGGUUUGUUAAGUCUGUUGUGAAAUCCCCGGGCUCAACCUGGGAAUGGCAAUGGAUACUGGCAGGCUAGAGUGUGUCAGAGGAUGGUGGAAUUCCCGGUGUAGCGGUGAAAUGCGUAGAGAUCGGGAGGAACAUCAGUGGCGAAGGCGGCCAUCUGGGACAACACUGACGCUGAGGCACGAAAGCGUGGGGAGCAAACAGGAUUAGAUACCCCGGUAGUCCCUGUCUCUUAUAC
rnacentral:rRNA from 1 species